CCUACGGGUGGCAGCAGUGGGGAAUAUUGCGCAAUGGGCGAAAGCCUGACGCAGCGACGCCGCGUGCGGGAUGAAGGUCUUCGGAUCGUAAACCUCUGUCAGCAGGGAAGAACGGUCACUGUGCUAAUCAGCAGUUAAUUGACGGUACCUGCAAAGGAAGCACCGGCUAACUCCGUGCCAGCAGCCGCGGUAAUACGGAGGGUGCGAGCGUUAAUCGGAAUUACUGGGCGUAAAGCGCUCGUAGGCGGUAUGUCAAGUCAGGGGUGAAAGCCCCGCGCUCAACGUGGGAACUGCCUUUGAAACUGGCAGACUUGAGUGUGUGAGAGGAUAGUGGAAUUCCAGGUGUAGGAGUGAAAUCCGUAGAUAUCUGGAGGAACAUCAGUGGCGAAGGCGAGUAUCUGGCACAUAACUGACGCUGAGGAGCGAAAGUGUGGGUAGCAAACAGGAUUAGAUACCCGGGUAGUC
rnacentral:rRNA from 1 species